rnacentral:lncRNA from 1 species
AGAAAGAAGUAGGAGGGCUUCAGGGAUUCAGCGGAGGAGACUGAAAGCCUGAGAGACGAUGCCUCUGAGAAGGUUACAGACCUUGGGAGAAAGCGCUUUCACCUCCUCACCACAGACACUCUCGACUGUGGACUCAGGACACUAAGCCAGAAAGCUCUCACCAUGGGGCAGCAAUGUGGAUUUAGUAAGCAUAGCCCACGGGCACUCAUUUUGAAGACACUAGGAGAACUUCAAAGCCAGGUUUGUUCUUCUGCCUCUGGUGACAUUUUUAAAAUUUCAGCACUGUUUUUUUUUUUAAUUGAUUCUUUGUGAAUUUCAUAUCAUGCACCUCAGUCCUGCACAUCUCCUGUCCCCUCCCUCCCUCCAACCUCCACCCUUCCCCAACAAAGAAAAAUAAGUCCCCACUAUGGAAGCUGUAGUGUGCCAUCGUGUGUCCUUUUGUCCACACUUCUUUGCUUGCAAGUGCUCAUUGCAUUGACUUUGUUGGUCUGGUACGAGUCAGGCCUCUGGCUUCUGCUAUGCUAACGAUGCUAGAACCUUACUGAGACUCCUCUAGGGUAGACUGUUGUCACCCCGUGUGUCAUGGAGACCCUGUAGUUUUGGAUCUGCAGGACUGGCUUCUUCACGUACUCCAGCAGUUCAUUGAUGGGAUAGACGUGGGGUGGGCUAACUCAAAGCCCUGGAUCUGGGCCUGAGAGGUGUCUGAGCUGCUCAGCCCACCAGCUCUCCAGUUCUUGUGGCCUUUGGAUUGGCUCGCCAGCAACCCCCUCUCCCAGGGCUAGCUCUCCUGGCUGACCAGGUCGGUCCUUAUAUUUGCUUUAGGAACCUGACAAGACUGACUAGCCAUCUCUAGCAUUCAGAUAGGUGGAACUUCAUUGUGCUGAAGUUAUGUUUGAGCACCCUCUGCUGGACAAAUCAGAUGCUCUAUGACUACCAACAAUGUACCAGUGGUAUUCGUCUCUUGCAGAUCUGGAAGAAAAUGAAAUUUAGAUGUGAGCGAGCAGUCUCCUUCCUGCUGCUGCAGCUGCAAGCUGCUCCUGCCGCCCAUGCCUUCUCUACUGCCAUGCCUUCCCUACCACAAGGGCCAGAACUCUCACACUGAAAGCCAGAAUAAAUCCUUCCUCUCUUCGGUUGGUUGUUGUCAGGAGAAGGCAGCAGCUGGCAUCAAUGGUGUGGUGAGGAGAGAAUCAAGUUUCCUUCUCCAGUUCAAACAGACGAAAGUGAAGCGACAUAGGCUCAAGGACAGGGUCACUGGGCUAGCGCCACACCAUGGAGCCAAACCCCGAGCCUUCUAAAUUGUGAGCUGGGCAUGGUGGUUCACCCCAGGAAUCGCAGCACUGAGGGAUGAAGGCGAGAGAGUCACUGUGGGUGUGACAUCAGUCUGGCCUGAAGUCUGAGACUGUUUUUUUAAAAAGAAAACAUUUUUUUAUGUCAUAUAUUUAAUUAUAUAAAGAUUCUGUUGUUUUGUUGUUGUUGUUGUUAAAAUUCAGCCAGGAAAUUUCCAUCUGUCUGGUGUUAAUUGGUUGUUUUUCAGCACUAAUUGGGAAAUGAUAUAUUUUUAUUGUUUUAUAAAUAGAGUAAAACCCCUCAGAAACUGCUGGGGAAAUUUAAACAAGGAAA